rnacentral:rRNA from 1 species
AUUGAACGCUGGCGGCAUGCCUUACACAUGCAAGUCGAACGGCAGCACGGGUGCUUGCACCUGGUAGCGAGUGGCGAACGGGUGAGGAAUACAUCGGAACAUGUACUGUAGUGGGGGAUAGCCCGGCGAAAGCCGGAUUAAUACCACAAACGAUCCACGGAUGAGGGCGGGGGACGUUCGUGCCUCGCCCUAGCGGGUUGGCCGAUGGCUGAUUAGCUAGUUGGUGGGGUAAAGGCCUACCAAGGCGACGAUCAGUAGCUGGUCUGAGAGGACGACCAGCCACACUGGGACUGAGACACGGCCCAGACUCCUACGGGAGGCAGCAGUGGGGAAUUUUGGACAAUGGGCGAAAGCCUGAUCCAGCAAUGCCGCGUGUGUGAAGAAGGCCUUCGGGUUGUAAAGCACUUUUGUCCGGAAAGAAAACCUUGGCUCUAAUACAGUCGGGGGAUGACGGUACCGGAAGAAUAAGCACCGGCUAACUACGUG